rnacentral:rRNA from 1 species
GAUGAACGCUGGCGGCGUGCCUAAUACAUGCAAGUCGAGCGAACAGACGAGGAGCUUGCUCCUCUGACGUUAGCGGCGGAAGGGUGAGUAACACGUGGAUAACCUACCUAUAAGACUGGGAUAACUUCGGGAAACCGGAGCUAAUACCGGAUAAUAUAUUGAACCGCAUGGUUCAAUAGUGAAAGACGGUUUUGCUGUCACUUAUAGAUGGAUCCGCGCCGCAUUAGCUAGUUGGUAAGGUAACGGCUUACCAAGGCGACGAUGCGUAGCCGACCUGAGAGGGUGAUCGGCCACACUGGAACUGAGACACGGUCCAGACUCCUACGGGAGGCAGCAGUAGGGAAUCUUCCGCAAUGGGCGAAAGCCUGACGGAGCAACGCCGCGUGAGUGAUGAAGGUCUUCGGAUCGUAAAACUCUGUUAUUAGGGAAGAACAAAUGUGUAAGUAACUAUGCACGUCUUGACGGUACCUAAUCAGAAAGCCACGGCUAACUACGUG